CAGCAGCCGCGGUAAUUCCAGCUCCAAUAGCGUAUAUUAAAGUUGUUGCAGUUAAAAAAGCUCGUAGUUGAAUUUCGGGAUCAAUAUGUUGGUCGUGCCUUGGUACGUACUAAUUUAUUGGUUUCUUCCUUCUGACGAACCAUGAUGUCAUUAAUUUGGUGUUAUGGGGGAAUCAGGACUGUUACUUUGAAAAAAAUUAGAGUGUUUAAAGCAGGCUCACGCUUGAAUACAUUAGCAUGGAAUAAUGAAAUAGGACGUUUGAUUCUAUUUUUGUUGGUUUCUAGGAUCGACGUAAUGAUUAAUAGGGAUAGUUGGGGGCAUUAGUAUUCAAUUGUCAGAGGUGAAAUUCUUGGAUUUAUUGAAGACUAACUACUGCGAAAGCAUUUGCCAAGGAUGUUUUCAUUAAUCAAAGAACGAAAGUCAGGGGAUCGAAGACGAUCAGAUACCGUCGUAGUCUUAACCAUAAACUAUAGCCGACUAGGGAUCGGAUGAUGUUAAUUUUUAUGUACUCAUUCGGCUC
rnacentral:rRNA from 1 species